rnacentral:rRNA from 1 species
AACGUAGGACACAAGCGUUAUCCGGAAUUAUUGGGCGUAAAGCGCGCGCAGGCGGUCCUUUAAGUCUGAUGUGAAAGCCCACGGCUCAACCGUGGAGGGUCAUUGGAAACUGGGGGACUUGAGUACAGAAGAGAAGAGUGGAAUUCCACGUGUAGCGGUGAAAUGCGUAGAGAUGUGGAGGAACACCAGUGGCGAAGGCGACUCUUUGGUCUGUAACUGACGCUGAGGCGCGAAAGCGUGGUGAGCAAACAGG